AUAGCGUAUAUUAAAGCUGCUGCGGUUGAACCGCUCGUAGUUGGAUUGCGAUUUUCGGCCACGGUCCUCUAAGUCAAGAGGAUUGGCUCUGCCGCCGUUGGUCAUGAUCGGUAUUGUCAUGCUUGUCCUUGAUGCUCUUCACUGAGUGUCAUGGGUGACAUGGACGUUUACUUUGAGAAAAUAAGAGCGCUCAAAGCAGGCUGCUCAUAGCUUGAACGGAAUUUCAUGGGAUAGUGAAAGAUGAUCUCGCUGGUAGUGAAAAAACCACGAGGUAAUGAUUAAAAGAGACAGACGGUGGCAUUCGUACUGCUGCGUUAGAGGUGAAAUUCUUGGAUCGUAGCAAGACGAACAAUUGCGAAAGCAUUUGCCAAGAAUGUUUUCAUUAAUCAAGAACGAAAGUUGGAGGAUCGAAGGCGAUCAGAUACCGCCCUAGUUGCGACUUUAAACGAUGCCAACUAGCGAUUCGGCGAUGUCUUUCUAAUGACUCGCUGAGCAGCUCCCGGGAAACCAAAGUCUUUCGGUUCCGGGGGAAGUAUGGUUGCAAAGCUGAAACUUAAAGGAAUUGACGGAAGGGCACCACCAGGAGUGGAGCAUGCGGCUUAAUUUGACUCAACACGGGAAAGCUCACCCGUCCCGAACACUGUCAGGAUUGACAGAUUGAGAGCUCUUUCUUGAUUCAGUGGGUAGUGGUGCAUGGCCGUUCUUAGUUGGUGGAGCGAUUUGUCUGGCCAAUCCCGAUAACGAACGAGACUCUGGCCUACUAAAUAGUGACGGCUCAAAAUUGCUUUGCCGAGCACUUCUUAGAGGGACAAGCGGCGGUACAAAGCCGCACGAGAAAGAGCAAUAACAGGUCUGUGAUGCCCUUAGAUGGACGGGGCUGCACGCGUGCUACACUGAUGGCACCAACGUGCGUUCAAGCCUGGCCUGAAGAGGUCAGGUAAUCGAAUGAAAUGUCCGUCGUGACUGGGACAGGGAAUUGCAAUUAUUUCCCUCGAACGAGGAAUUCCCAGUAAGCGCGAGUCAUCA
rnacentral:rRNA from 1 species